rnacentral:rRNA from 1 species
AACGAACGCUGGCGGCAGGCCUAACACAUGCAAGUCGAACGCCCGUAGGCAAUACGGAGUGGCAGACGGGUGGGUAACACGUGGGAACGUACCCUUCGGUUCGGGAUAACUCAGGGAAACUUGAGCUAAUACCGGAUACGUCCGAGAGGAGAAAGAUUUAUUGCCGAGGGAUCGGCCCGCGUCUGAUUAGCUUGUUGGUGAGGUAACGGCUCACCAAGGCGACGAUCAGUAGCUGGUCUGAGAGGAUGAUCAGCCACAUUGGGACUGAGACACGGCCCAAACUCCUACGGGAGGCAGCAGUGGGGAAUAUUGGACAAUGGGCGCAAGCCUGAUCCAGCCAUGCCGCGUGAGUGAUGAAGGCCCUAGGGUUGUAAAGCU